CAAUCCUGAACCAGCAAUGCCGCGUGUGGGAUGACGGGGCUCAGCCCUGAUAAACCACUGUCGGACGGGACGAAAGGAGCCUUCAGGGCUCUGGGACGGUACCGUCAAAGGAAGGGUCGGCUAACUACGUGCCAGCAGCCGCGGUAAUACGUAGGACCCGAGCGUUGUCCGGAAUUACUGGGUAUAAAGGGUGCGCAGGCGGCCGUGUGCGUCAGAGGUGAAAUCUCCGGGCUUAACCCGGAGGGUGCCUUUGAUACGGCAUGGCUUGAGUCCGAGAGAGGGUGAUGGAAUUCCUGGUGUAGCAGUGAAAUGCGUAGAUAUCAGGAGGAACACCGGUGGCGAAGGCGGUCACCUGGCUCGGCACUGACGCUUAGGCACGAAAGCGUGGGGAUCAAACAGGAUUAGAUACCCUGGUAGUCCACGCCCUAAACGAUGUAUGCUUGGUGUUGGAUCAGCAAUGAUUCAGUGCCGAAGGGAAUCUGUUAAGCAUACCACCUGGGGAGUACGAUCGCAAGGUUGAAACUCAAAGGAAUUGACGGA
rnacentral:rRNA from 1 species